GACGAACGCUGGCGGCGCGCUUAACACAUGCAAGUCGAGCGGGAAAUUUUUAAUGGAUUCUUCGGAUGAAGCUAAAAAUGGAGAGCGGCGGACGGGUGAGUAACGCGUGAGAAAUCUGCCCUGUACAGGGGGAUAGCCAUUGGAAACGAUGAUUAAUACCCCAUAUGACCACAGCAUCGCAUGAUGUAGCGGUAAAAACUCCGGUGGUACAGGAUGAUCUCGCGUCUGAUUAGCUAGUUGGUAGGGUAACGGCCUACCAAGGCGACGAUCAGUAGCCGGCCUGAGAGGGUGAACGGCCACACUGGAACUGAGACACGGUCCAG
rnacentral:rRNA from 1 species